rnacentral:rRNA from 1 species
GAUUAACGCUGGCGGCGUGCCUAACACAUGCAAGUCGAACGAGGUAGCAAUACCUAGUGGCAGACGGGUGAGUAACGCGUGGUCAACCUACCGUUGAGUGGGGGAUAACUAGCCGAAAGGUUAGCUAAUACCGCAUACGUCUCCGAGUGGCAUCACUUGGCGAUAAAAGGAGCAAUCCGCUCGAUGACGGGACCGCGUCCCAUUAGCUAGAUGGUGGGGUAACGGCCUACCANGGCACCGAUGGGUAGCUGGUUUGAGAGAGCGACCAGCCACACUGGGACUGAGAAACGGCCCAGACUCCUACGGGAGGCAGCAGUGAGAAUUUCCGCAAUGGGCGCAAGCCUGACGGAGCGACGCCGCGUGUGGGAAG